GAUGAACGCUGGCGGCGUGCCUAAUACAUGCAAGUCGAGCGAACGGACGAGAGGCUUGCUUUUCUGAUGUUAUCGGCGGACGGGUGAGUAACACGUGGAUAACCUACCUAUAAGACUGGGAUAACUUCGGGAAACCGGAGCUAAUACCGGAUAAUAUUUUGAACCGCAUGGUUCAAAAGUGAAAGACGGUCUUGCUGUCACUUAUAGAUGGAUCCGCGCUGCAUUAGCUAGUUGGUAAGGUAACGGCUUACCAAGGCAACGAUGCAUAGCCGACCUGAGAGGGAGAUCGGCCACACUGGAACUGAGACACGGUCCAGACUCCUACGGGAGGCAGCAGUAGGGAAUCUUCCGCGAUGGGCGAAAGCCUGACGGAGCAACGCCGCGUGAGUGAUGAAGGUCUUCGGAUCGUAAAACGCUGUUAUUAGGGAAGAACAUAUGUGUAAGUAACUGUGCACAUAUUGACGGUACCUACUCAGAAAGCCACGGCUAACUACGUG
rnacentral:rRNA from 1 species